UGUAAAAAUUCUAGAGAUUUUUCUAGCAAAUUUUUGAACAUUUUUCUGGAAACUGGCUCCUUUUAUAAAACCACUUCACAGCAGGCUGACACGCCGCCAUGCUCCAGUCAUUUCUAUCUUUUAUGAAUCUGCCGAAGUUGGUUCCCUCUGUUCCAGAAUCGGACCACCGUCACAACAACCUGCACGUCAUUUUAAUCUUCCCUCUCAAAGGUACAUCCUGAAAUCACGAGAAAUGAAACAAGAGACAGGAAAGACGGAUGGAUUGAUGCUGCGAGAGAGAGAGUGAUCGAAUCACGCGGCGCUGCAGGAAGUCUUCCUCCCGUCAAUCUGAACCCACUCAGCUUCCUGCGCAGCAAACCCGAUUAGCUGCCUCUGCUCCGACGCUGGUGCGACUUUAAAGGGGGAUGUGGGGAUAAUAUGCAUUAUUACUUUUAUCCAGUAAGUGAGGCGGGCCAAUAAUUGGGCAACGCUGGAGUUUUAUUGUUCCCAGCUGCUGAGGUCAUUACUAAACGUCAAAGAGAUGCAACAUUUCCUGUCGCUCUAACGACAGUAAUCACUUCCCUCUCUCCCCUGAAUACUCCGCCGCGCAUCCUGGCCAUGGAAGGUACAGAGAUGAGACUUCUUCAUCAUCUUUAUUGGAUUCGUCCUGCAAACCGAAUCAUGGCAGGUGAACGCCCUGCAGACAACAAACCAGCAGAGGAGCUCUGUUUUUAGAGGCUGGCAGACUUCACAGGUGUCACAGCUCAGGUGAGAAGAAGAUCUGAGGGACGAAGGGCUGCAAGCUGGCAGCGCGACUUCAUCUGGGAGUUACGUGUUCUUAAACGAGAUCCAAAUAUAGAUCCAGUUUGGGUGGAAGGAAGGGGUUUGUUGUUUCUCCAAUAAAUCUUUGAAAGG